rnacentral:lncRNA from 1 species
AGGAAGGAAGGAAGGAAGGAAGGAAGGAAGGAAGGAAGGAAGGAAGGAAGGAAGUGGCAGAAGGGAGGGAGGAAGGGAGGGAGGGAGGGAGGAAGGAAGGGAGGAAGGGAGGAUGGAUUCUGGGUGUCUUCAGUAACCCUCCACUUCUCUUCAGUGACACAGGGAACUCCUUUAUCCCAUCUGCCUCCUCUAAUAUCACAGGAGACAAAGGAAGCUUGGAAGAAUUUGCAAGAAGACUACUUUCUGCUGGAUGGAUCCUAUCAGAUGCAACACUAUGUUGCCUACCACAAUUGCUGCAAGACUUACUAUCAAAAAAUAUUUCAACCCUGGCUGUGGGCAGAUGCAGAACCCCGAUGGCCUGAGCAAACACAUCACAAACCCUCUGCUCUACACAUCACAAACCUUUAGUGUCUGAUGGGGCAGAACUUCCCGUGAGCUGCUUCUACUUUCUGAGAAGCUAAUCAAUAGCUGGAAUAUCUGCACUUCCAUGCUGCCAAAUCCAAGAACUGUGGGUUACCUGUGAGACUUGGAGCAAAAUCAUGACCCAAUACAGAGCAGCAGGAGUUUUCAGGCUUAUAUCCUUACAUUUGUAACCAAGACAAGAGUUUGAGAAGAACAGUGAAUGCACAAGAAAAGUCACUCUUCAACAAAGCACCAUGUCAGGCCAAUAUGAAAAGGAAAAGAAAGCUCAAAACAAAAUAGAUAGAAAGUAUGCCUUUGCUUCAGUCUCAAACAUGAAAAAAAAAAGGCAGAAAACAUAGCAAAUAUGAAAAUGAAAUGUAUCUGAUCCUUAUAGAGAUUAUUUUAAAAUCAUCUCUUCAAAGUUCUGUACUUUUUUUCAGGAAUAUAUUGUAAAAUAAACCUACAUUUUUAAUACUGCCA